UAUAUUGUAGUGUAGGAAGCACGAGAACUUUUGAAGUUUCAAGUAAUAGUUUGAUUCUAUUUAAUAUAA
rnacentral:tRNA from 1 species